CUUGAUCGAGCCCAACCACACCGGCCGCUCCGCAUCACGAUCCUGCCCAUAGGUGGCCACAAUGGCUUGCGCCUC
rfam:Mycobacterium riyadhense strain DSM 45176 contig_143, whole genome shotgun sequence.